UACAGAGGGGGCAAGCGUUGUUCGGAAUUACUGGGCGUAAAGGGCGCGUAGGCGGCCCGCUAAGUCGAACGUGAAAUCCCCGAGCUCAACUCGGGAACUGCGUCCGAUACUGGCGGGCUUGAAUCUGGGAGAGGGAUGCGGAAUUCCAGGUGUAGCGGUGAAAUGCGUAGAUAUCUGGAGGAACACCGAUGGCGAAGGCAGCCUUCUGGGCCAACACUGACGCUCAUGCACGAAAGCGUGGGGAGCAAACAGG
rnacentral:rRNA from 1 species